AAAUUACCCGUGCAUUUUGCUUAAGAUUGUCCAAAUAUGACUGUAUGCAACCACUGCAUGAGAGCUCUUGCCAUCUAUUGUUACCAUUUAAUAUAGAAAAAUAAAUAAAUAAAAUAGUGACUAAAAUAUUAAAUUUUUUGACGUAGUUGAUUAUCCGUUGCCUUGAUCUCCAUUGCCAUUUUAACCAAUAGAAAUUGUCAAUUUCAGUGCAAGACCACGGAGGGAUAAGAGGAAGAAGAAAUGUGCACAUUAGAGAAGCAGGGCAAUCUCUACAUCCUCACGCUGACUGGCCCAGGCGAGCACAGACUAAACCCUAAACUCAUCGACUCUAUCCAGUCCGCUCUUCGCCGCCUUCGUGACCAGCCACUCUACCUUUCUUCUGCUCUCAUCACCACCGCGCAUGGUAAAUUCUUCUGCAAUGGCUACGAUCUUGCCUGGGGCCGAUUCGCUUCAUCUGCACCUAUCACUCAGUCCCGCUUCCAGCUCAUGUCAUCGACAUUCCGGUCUCUAAUCUCCGAUCUCAUCUCACUUCCUAUGCCUACUAUCGCCGCCGUCACCGGACACGCGUCGGCUGCAGGAUUUAUGUUGGCUUUGGGCCAUGAUUAUGUGCUGAUGAGAAAAGAUAGGGGCUUCAUUUACAUAAGUGAGCUCGAUACAGGACUUGUGAUUCUUGCUUGGUUUAUGGCGAUGUUGAAGUGCAAAAUUGGGGAUGCGAAUAUGAGGAGGGAGGUGGUGUUGACGGCUGCGAAAUUGACGGCAGAGAUGGCAGUGGAGAGGAGAAUCGUCCAUUCGGCGCACGAGAGCACGCAGGCGACGGUUGAGGCAGCGGUUGGGCUGGGGAACGAAUUGGUGAGGCGGAAAUGGGAUGGACGCGUGUAUGCAAGUAAUAGGCUGGUGGUUUUGGGUGAAGUGUUGGAUAAGAUUGGCUUUGACGAAACUGUUGAGGGGCAAAAUGGGGAUAGCACUAAAUGAAAGCUCUAAAGUGUAAUCCGAUAUAUUGUGCUUCGUUGAUUGGUAGAUUUAUUAUAAAGGCA
rnacentral:misc_RNA from 1 species